rnacentral:rRNA from 1 species
UGAGUAACACGUAUCCAACCUGCCGUCUACUCUUGGACAGCCUUCUGAAAGGAAGAUUAAUACAAGAUGGCAUCAUGAGUCCGCAUGUUCACAUGAUUAAAGGUAUUCCGGUAAAGGAUGGGGAUGCGUUCCAUUAGGUUGUUGGUGAGGUAACGGCUCACCAAGCCUUCGAUGGAUAGGGGUUCUGAGAGGAAGGUCCCCCACAUUGGAACUGAGACACGGUCCAA